rnacentral:rRNA from 1 species
GUAGGUGGCAAGCGUUGUCCGGAAUCACUGGGUGUAAAGGGAGCGCAGGCGGGAAGCCAAGUCAGCNGUGAAAACUACAGGCUUAACUNGUAGACUGCAGUNGAAACUGUNUUUCUUGAGUGAAGUAGAGGNNGGCGGAAUUCCGAGUGUAGCGGUGAAAUGCGUAGAUAUUCGGAGGAACACCGGUGGCGAAGGCGGCCAACUGGGCUUUAACUGACGCUGAGGCUCGAAAGUGUGGGGAGCAAACAGGAUUAGAUACCCUGGUAGUCCACACUGUAAACGAUGAUUGCUAGGUGUGGGGGGUCUGACCCCUUCCGUGCCGCAGCUAACGCAAUAAGCAAUCCACCUGGGGAGU